rnacentral:rRNA from 1 species
AUUGAACGCUGGCGGCAGGCCUAACACAUGCAAGUCGAACGAGUGGCGGACGGGUGAGUAAUGUCUGGGAAACUGCCUGAUGGAGGGGGAUAACUACUGGAAACGGUAGCUAAUACCGCAUACCAUCGGAUGUUCCCAGAUGGGAUUAGCUAGUAGGUGGGGUAAAGGCUCACCUAGGCGACGAUCCCUAGCUGGUCUGAGAGGAUGACAGGCCACACUGGAACUGAGAAACGGUCAAGACCCCUACGGGAGGCAGCAGUGGGGAAUAUUGCACAAGGGGCGCAAGCCUGAUGCAGCCAUGCCGCGUGUAUGAAGAAGGCCUUCGGGUUGUAAAGUACUUUCAGCGGGGAGGCGUUACCCGCAGAAGAAGCACCGGCUAACUCCGUGCCAGCAGCCGCGGUAAUAC